rnacentral:rRNA from 1 species
AUUGAACGCUGGCGGCAGGCUUAACACAUGCAAGUCGAGCGGGGGAAGGUAGCUUGCUACCGGACCUAGCGGCGGACGGGUGAGUAAUGCUUAGGAAUCUGCCUAUUAGUGGGGGACAACAUCUCGAAAGGGAUGCUAAUACCGCAUACGUACUACGGGAGAAAGCAGGGGAUCUGCGGACCUUGCGCUAAUAGAUGAGCCUAAGUCGGAGUAGCUAGUUGGUGGGGUAAAGGCCUACCAAGGCGACGAUCUGCAGCGGGUCUGAGAGGAUGAUCCGCCACACUGGGACUGAGACACGGCCCAGACUCCUACGGGAGGCAGCAGUGGGGAAUAUUGGACAAUGGGGGGAACCCUGAUCCAGCCAUGCCGCGUGUGUGAAGAAGGCCUUAUGGUUGUAAAGCACUUUAAGCGAGGAGGAGGCUACUUUAGUUAAUACCUAGAGAUAGUGGACGUUACUCGCAGAAUAAGCACCGGCUAACUCUGUGCCAGCCGCCGCUGUAACAC